GAACUUAGGAUAACUAAACCAAAAGCCUUCAAAGCUUUAAACAGAAGUUAAAAUCUUCUAGUCCC
rnacentral:tRNA from 1 species